ensembl:lncRNA
CUAUUCUGUGCCACAGAUCCAGUUCGCUGCAGCACAGAGUGAUGAUGAGACCGUUAACAUGUGCAACUUAGAAGUAGUCAGAGGUAACUGGAUGUUCAAUCGGGUUAAAUGCAAGGUUGAUUGGAUUAUAUCUGAAGAUCGUAUGCUAUUCGUGAUAACUCUGCUAGACUCCAAAUUGCUCGUCCAUGCGGGAGUAUCCCAAAAUUAAAUGAAAUCACUUAACACUUUUUCCCUAAAACGGACUGACAUGGGACACAUUAAAGUUGGAUCGGAACCAGCUAAUCAGUCUGAAGAUGAUCCAUGGCCCAUGCUUUCUGGACAUUUACACAAGAUGAGCAACAAUGAAGACAAGCUCUCUUGCCCUCUUGCAAGACGCUGUCUCUGUCCAACAGGUUUUUUGAGUGCAACAGUGUUGAUUUUUUUUCCCUUCUUUUACCCGUUUGUUAAAAAUUAUUGCAGCUACUUACACUUUAAUUGUCACAUGUAUUGGCUCACCCUACAAAUCAAUGAACUCAGUCCACAAAGCAAGAUCAGGGUUCAGUGCAGGUCAGUCAAGUUCCUUCACACCACACACGCUCAUCCAUGUCCUUGUGGACCCUGCUUUGUGCAUUGAUUUGGUGGUGUGAGCCAGUAUUUUGGACAAAGUGUAUAUAAAGGCAGAAGUGUGGGGCUUGAUAUUAUAUUCAUUACAAUUCAGUUUAUUUGUAUGGUGCCAACAAAAUGAAUGCCAAGGCACUUCACAUUGUAGGUUUAAGACCCUACAAAAUAUAACUAAGAAAACCCAACACUUGAGCAUAUGUUGUCUGCCAUGAUAUGGAUAUGACAUAAUAUCGUUAUUGUUUGUACAACCAUCUGAGAAAAUAAUGGAUUACAUGGUUUAGUAAAAACAAGUGCUUUCUCAAUGAAAAUAUGUUUUCAGUUCUUUUCAGUUUUUGAUUUUGGAAAUGUGUAUUUCUGCAGAGGAAAAUCAGAACUGAAAUAAAAAGUGGUGUAAAGCACAUGAAUUAUAUUUUUUGUGUGUGUGUCUAUCUAUCCAUCCAUCCAUCCAGUUUUUUUGGAACCCUCCAGUCUCUUACAGUAUGUUACUGUUAACUGAAAUUACGGUAAAUUACGACCUGUUAAACAGUAAAUGACCG